rnacentral:rRNA from 1 species
GGUUUCCUACGGGGCGCAGCAGUAGGGAAUUUUCGUCAAUGGGCGCAAGCCUGAACGAGCAAUGCCGCGUGAACGAGGAAGGUCUUCGGAUCGUAAAGUUCUGUUGAAGGGGAAAAAGAGCGGAGAGAGGAAAUGCUUUCUGAUUGAUAUUACCCUUCGAGGAAGUCACGGCUAACUACGUGCCAGCAGCCGCGGUAAUACGUAGGUGGCGAGCGUUAUCCGGAAUGAUUGGGCGUAAAGGGUGCGUAGGCGGACCAUCAAGUCAGCGGUAAAAUCGUGGGGCCCAACCCCAUCCCGCCGUUGAA